UGUGGCAGAAAAGUGCAAUAAAUUUAAGAUUUAUGUAUAAAGUUUAACUUUCCUUAGA
rnacentral:tRNA from 1 species